CCCUUAGAUGUUCUGGGCCGCACGCGUGCUACACUGAGUGGAUCAGCGGGUCAGGUUGCGCGAAAGUGUUUCCUAAUCUUUAAAUCCGCUCGUGAUGGGGAUUGACGGUUGCAAUUUUCCGUCAUGAACGAGGAAUACCUUGUAAGCGCGGGUCAUCAUCCCGCGCUGAAUACGUCCCUGCCCUUUGUACACACCGCCCGUCGCUGCUACCGAUUGGUUGAUCUGGUGAAUUAUUCGGACUGCCGGCUGAAGGGGUUUCCUCAUCUGCCAGCGGAAAGUCUUGUUAACCCUAUCAACUAGAGGAAGCAGAAGUCGUAACA
rnacentral:rRNA from 1 species